AUGAACGCUAGCUACAGGCUUAACACAUGCAAGUCGAGGGGCAGCAUGGUCUUAGCUUGCUAAGGCCGAUGGCGACCGGCGCACGGGUGAGUAACACGUAUCCAACCUGCCGUCUACUCUUGGACAGCCUUCUGAAAGGAAGAUUAAUACAAGAUGGCAUCAUGAGUCCACAUGUUCACAUGAUUAAAGGUAUUCCGGUAGACGAUGGGGAUGCGUUCCAUUAGAUAGUAGGCGGGGUAACGGCCCACCUAGUCUUCGAUGGAUAGGGGUUCUGAGAGGAAGGUCCCCCACAUUGGAACUGAGACACGGUCCAAACUCCUACGGGAGGCAGCAGUGAGGAAUAUUGGUCAAUGGGCGAGAGCCUGAACCAGCCAAGUAGCGUGAAGGAUGACUGCCCUAUGGGUUGUAAACUUCUUUUGUAAAGGAAUAAAGUCGGGUAUGGAUACCCGUUUGCAUGUACUUUAUGAAUAAGGAUCGGCUAACUCCGUGCCAGCAGCCGCGGUAAUACGGAGGAUCCGAGCGUUAUCCGGAUUUAUUGGGUUUAAAGGGAGCGUAGAUGGAUGUUUAAGUCAGUUGUGAAAGUUUGCGGCUCAACCGUAAAAUUGCAGUUGAUACUGGAUAUCUUGAGUGCAGUUGAGGCAGGCGGAAUUCGUGGUGUAGCGGUGAAAUGCUUAGAUAUCACGAAGAACUCCGAUUGCGAAGGCAGCCUGCUAAGCUGCAACUGACAUUGAGGCUCGAAAGUGUGGGUAUCAAACAGGAUUAGAUACCCUGGUAGUCCACACGGUAAACGAUGAAUACUCGCUGUUUGCGAUAUACGGCAAGCGGCCAAGCGAAAGCGUUAAGUAUUCCACCUGGGGAGUACGCCGGCAACGGUGAAACUCAAAGGAAUUGACGGGGGCCCGCACAAGCGGUGGAGCAUGUGGUUUAAUUCGAAGCAACGCGAAGAACCUUACCAGGUCUUGACAUGGAGAUAAAGGCUCUGGAGACAGAGAGAUAGCUAUAUCUCACACAGGUGGUGCAUGGUUGUCGUCAGCUCGUGUCGUGAGAUGUUGGGUUAAGUCCCGCAACGAGCGCAACCCUUAUCCUUUGUUGCCAGCGGUCCGGCCGGGAACUCAAAGGAGACUGCCAGUGAUAAACUGGAGGAAGGUGGGGAUGACGUCAAAUCAUCAUGCCCUUUAUGUCUUGGGCUACACACGUACUACAAUGGCGUUAAACAAAGAGAAGCAAGACCGCGAGGUGGAGCAAAACUCAGAAACAACGUCCCAGUUCGGACUGCAGGCUGCAACUCGCCUGCACGAAGUCGGAAUUGCUAGUAAUCGUGGAUCAGCAUGCCACGGUGAAUACGUUCCCGGGCCUUGUACACACCGCCCGUCACACCAUGAGAGUUGGUAACACCCGAAGCCGGUGGCCCAACCGCAAGGAGGGAGCUGUCUAAGGUGGGACUGAUGAUUGGGGUG
rnacentral:rRNA from 1 species